ACAAAAGCAGCAACCAAAUAUUUCCUUACGCAAGCAACCACAUCUGUAAUUCUCAUAAUAGGUAUCCUUUUCAACAACCUGUCCUCUGGACAAUGAACAAUAAUAAACACUAUUAAUCAAUUUUCAUCAUUAAUAAUAGUGACCCUAGUAAUAAAACUAGGAAUAGCCCCCUUUCAAUUCUGAGUCCCAGAGGUAACCCAAGGAACCUCUCUAAUACCUGGUAUACUUCUCCUCACAUGAUAUUGUGAAGAAACAUCGAUUAUGUUUUAAAUUUUCCCAUCAACAAACAUGAACAUCCUCCUGUCUAUCACAAUUCUAUCCAUUAUAGUAGGCAGCUGAGGAGGGCUUAACCAAGCACAAUUGUGUAAAAUCUUAGCCUACUCCUCAAUCACUCACAUAGGCUGAAUAAUAGCAGCACUACUCUAUAGCCCAAACAUUACCAUUCUAAACCUAUUUAUUUUAUCUUAACAAUAACCAUAUUUUUAACACUCAACCUGAGUAUAAGCACCACAACGCUGUCACUAUUACACACCUGAAACAAAUUAACAUGGUUGACACCUAUAAUUCCACUAAUUCUACUAUCUCUAGGAGGUUUACCUCCAUUAACAGGGUUCCUGCCUAAAUGAAUCAUCAUCCAAGAAUUUACAAAAAACAAGAGCCUUAUUGCUGAAACAUUAUAGCUAUCAUAACCCUACUCAACCUGUACUUUUACAUACGCCUAAUUUAUUCCACCUCAGUGACAUUAUUCCCCACGUCUAAUAAUAUGAAAAUAAAAUGACAAUUCAAAAACACAAAACCCAUACCAU
rnacentral:lncRNA from 1 species